CCUAUUCGAAGGGAUAGGGUCGGUUCGGCCGGGUUUCACACAGGUGUUGCAUGGCUGUCGUCAGCUCGUGUCGUGAGAUGUUGGGUUAAGUCCCGCAACGAGCGCAACCCUCAUCCUUAGUUACCAUCAGGUAAUGCUGGGGACUUUAAGGAGACUGCCAGUGAUAAACUGGAGGAAGGUGGGGAUGAUGUCAAGUCAUCAUGGCCCUUAUGGAGUGGGCUACACACGUGCUACAAUGGUGGCUACAAUGGGCUGCAAAGUCGCGAGGCUAAGCCAAUCCCUUAAAAGCCAUCUCAGUUCGGAUUGUACUCUGCAACUCGAGUGCAUGAAGUUGGAAUCGCUAGUAAUCGUGGAUCAGCACGCCACGGUGAAUACGUUCUCGGGUCUUGUACACACUGCCCGUCACGCCAUGGGAAUUGGUUUCACUCGAAGCUAAAAWUC
rnacentral:rRNA from 1 species